rnacentral:misc_RNA from 1 species
GAACGCACAUUGCGCCCCUUGGUAUUCCAUGGGGCAUGCUUGUUCGAGCGUCAUUUGUACUCUCAAGCUUUGCUUGGUGUUGGGUGUUUGUCCUUUCCUCGCGUUUGGACUCGCCUUAAAUUCAUUGGCAGCCACGAUAUUGGUUUGAAGCGCAGCACAAUUUGCGAAUCUACCCAGCAUUAGUAGCGUCCAGUAAGCAUAUUUAACACUUUUGACCUCGGAUCAAGUAGGGAUACCCGCUGAACUUAAG